GAAUGUCACAGCAAGAUGGGACCUUGGAGAUCACUAAAUUCAGUGGUUUCCAAACCACCUGAGGACCUUUAAAACUUCUCUCUCCCUUUCUCUUUCUCCCUCUCCCUCCUCCUCUCCUCUUCCUAGGCUUCUCCAAGAACUGCCGACAAUUAUGUGAACUUGGAAGAGCACCUUCCCUGAUGGAGCUUUCCGAUGAGACUCAGCCUUGGCUAACACCUUGAUUGCAACCUUAUGAGACCCUAUGGAGCAGAGGACCCAGUUGACCUGAGCUUGGUUCCCCGACCUACAGACACCGAUAUAACAAAUGUGUGUUGUUUUAAGCUACUGCAUUUAUGAUAAUGUGUUAUAAUGCAAUAAAUCACUAGGCACCCCCAAACCCCACA